rnacentral:rRNA from 1 species
UACAGAGGUGGCAAGCGUUGUUCGGAAUUACUGGGCGUAAAGGGCGCGUAGGCGGUUCGUCAAGUCCUGUGUGAAAUCCCCCGGCUCAACUGGGGAACUGCACAGGAAACUAGCGGGCUUGAGUUCGGGAGAGGGAAGCGGAAUUCCGGGUGUAGCGGUGAAAUGCGUAGAUAUCCGGAGGAACACCGGUGGCGAAGGCGGCUUCCUGGACCGACACUGACGCUGAGGAGCGAAAGCGUGGGGAGCGAACAGG